AGCAGCCGCGGUAAUUCCAGCUCCAAUAGCGUAUAUUAAAGUUGUUGCAGUUAAAAAGCUCGUAGUUGAAUUUUAGGCCUGACCGGGCGGUCCGUCUCUGGCGAGUACUGUCUGUUGUCGGGUCUAUCCUUCUGGUGAGCCGGUAUGCCCUCUAUUGGGUGUGUCAGGGAACCAGGACCAUUACCUUGAAAAAUUAGAGUGUUUAAAGCGGGCUUUUGCUUGAAUAGAUUAGCAUGGAAUAAUAGAAUAGGACGUUGGUUCUAUUUUGUUGGUCUAGGACCACCGUAAUGAUUAAUAGGGAUAGUUGGGGGCAUUAGUAUUCAAUUGUCAGAGGUGAAAUUCUUGGAUUUAUUGAAGACUAACUACUGCGAAAGCGUUUGCCAAGGAUGUUUUCAUUAAUCAAGAACGAAAGUUAGGGGAUCGAAGACGAUCAGAUACCGUCGUAGUCUUAACCAUAAACUAUGCCGACUAGGAAUCGGGCGACGUUAUUCUCAUGACUCGCUCGGCGCCUUAUGGGAAA
rnacentral:rRNA from 1 species